GCAGACAGCAGACAGGAGAGGAGGAGCAGAGGAGGAGGAGACAGUGGAAUAUUCUAACCAGAGCCAUGGGGGUAAUGGCUCUGAUACUACCUGUACAGAAACCCCGCCUACAACUACAGCUGUGUCUACACCUGUGUCUUGUACCUGUUCGGAGACCCUCUCGUCACCUGUGUCCUGCACCUGUACAGCACCGGUGGAAAAGUCUUUCUCUACACGUGUGUCUACACCACCUGCAUCAACAGAUGUCUCUACGACUGCUGCGUCUGUGCCAGCCUCACCUGUCCUCACCCGGGCAAAGG